rnacentral:rRNA from 1 species
CAGUCGCCACGUAAUACGAAGGGGGCUAGCGUUGUUCGGAUUUACUGGGCGUAAAGCGCACGUAGGCGGGCUUUUAAGUCAGGGGUGAAAUCCCGGGGCUCAACCCCGGAACUGCCUUUGAUACUGGAAGUCUUGAGUAUGGAAGAGGUGAGUGGAAUUCCGAGUGUAGAGGUGAAAUUCGUAGAUAUUCGGAGGAACACCAGUGGCGAAGGCGGCUCACUGGUCCAUUACUGACGCUGAGGUGCGAAAGCGUGGGGAGCAAACAGGAUUAGAUACCCCAGUAGUCCCUGUCUCUUAUACA